UGCAGAGGUCCCAAGCGUUGUUCGGAUUUAUUGGGCGUAAAGGGUGCGUAGGCGGCGGAGUAAGUUGGGUGUGAAAUCCCGAGGCUCAACCUCGGAAUGGCAUUCAAUACUGCUUCGCUAGAGUACUGGAGAGGAGGCUGGAAUUUACGGUGUAGCAGUGAAAUGCGUAGAUAUCGUAAGGAAGGCCGGUGGCGAAAGCGAGCCUCUGGACAGUUACUGACGCUGAUGCACGAAGGCCAGGGGAGCAAACGGG
rnacentral:rRNA from 1 species